AAUUAACGCUGGCGGCACGUCUAACACAUGCAAGUCGAACGGAAUUUUGGAUUCAUUUAGUAGCAAUAUUAAAUUAAUUCAAAGUUUAGUGGCGAACGGGUGAGUAACACGUGGGAAUCUACCCAUCAGUACGGAAUAAUUUUUGGAAACGAAAACUAAUACCGUAUAUUCUCUAGCGAGGAAAGAUUUAUCGCUGAUGGAUGAGCCCGCGUCAGAUUAGGUAGUUGGUGGGGUAAUGGCCUACCAAGCCAAUGAUCUGUAGCUGGUCUGAGAGGAUGAUCAGCCACACUGGAACUGAGACACGGUCCAGACUCCUACGGGAGGCAGCAGUGAAGAAUAUUUGACAAUGGGCGAAAGCCUGAUCAAGCGAUGCCGCGUGAAUGAAGAAGGCCUUCGGGUUGUAAAGUUCUUUUAGUGGAGAAGAUAAUGACGGUAUCCACAGAAAAAGCCCCGGCUAACUUCGUG
rnacentral:rRNA from 1 species